GACGAACGCUGGCGGCGUGCCUAAUACAUGCAAGUAGAACGCACAGUUUAUACCGUAGCUUGCUACACCAUAGACUGUGAGUUGCGAACGGGUGAGUAACGCGUAGGUAACCUGCCUGGUAGCGGGGGAUAACUAUUGGAAACGAUAGCUAAUACCGCAUAAUAUUGAUUAUUGCAUGAUAAUUGAUUGAAAGGUGCUAUUGCAUCACUACCAGAUGGAUCUGCGUUGUAUUAGCUAGUAGGUGAGGUAACGGCUCACCUAGGCGACGAUACAUAGCCGACCUGAGAGGGUGAUCGGCCACACUGGGACUGAGGCACGGCCCAGACUCCUACGGGAGGCAGCAGUAGGGAAUCUUCGGCAAUGGACGAAAGUCUGACCGAGCAACGCCGCGUGAGUGAAGAAGGUUUUCGGAUCGUAAAGCUCUGUUGUAAGAGAGGAACGGGUGUGAGAGUGGAAAGUUCACACUGUGACGGUAUCUUACCAGAAAGGGACGGCUAACUACGUG
rnacentral:rRNA from 1 species